GAUGAAGAACGUAGCGAAAUGCGAUAAGUAGUGUGAAUUGCAGAAUUCAGUGAAUCAUCGAAUCUUUGAACGCACAUUGCGCCCCUCGGUAUUCCAUGGGGCAUGCCUGUUCGAGCGUCAUUUACACCCUCAAGCUCUGCUUGGUGUUGGGCGUCUGUCCCGCUGCUUUGCGCGGACUCGCCUCAAAGGUAUUGGCAGCGAUCAUGCCAGCUUCUCGCGCAGCACAUUGCGCUUCUUGAAGUUCUGGUGGAUCAGCGUCCAUUAAGCUUACCUUCAUGACUUGACCUCGGAUCAGGUAGGGAUACCCGCUGAACUUAAGCAUAUCAAUAAGCGGAGGA
rnacentral:misc_RNA from 1 species